GCCAGCAGUAGUCAGCUAUCCAGCGCUUUCCCAUGCCUGUGAUCGUGUUACACUGCUGGCAGAUUAAAGCAUUACCACUGUAUGCUGGCUGUCAUUGUCAUCGUUCUGGUGACAUUUGGCACUAGUGUUAGGUGAUGCUGUGCUUCUUGAAAGUGCGCUGAUCCCUAGCGUCUAGCUGUUUUGGCGUUUAGUCUGGAAGUACACAUC